rnacentral:rRNA from 1 species
AGAGGGGGUGCGAGCGUUAAUCGGAAUGAUUGGGCGUAAAGGGCGUGUAGGUGGAAAUGCAAGUCAAAGGGUGAAAUCCCCGGGCUUAACCUGGGAACUGCCUUUGAAACUGCGUAUCUAGAGUAUAGGAGAGGGAAGUGGAAUUUCCGGUGUAGCGGUGAAAUGCGUAGAUAUCGGAAGGAACACCAGUGGCGAAGGCGACUUCCUGGCCUGAUACUGACACUGAGGCGCGAAAGCGUGGGUAGCGAACAGGAUUAGAUACCCUGGUAGUCCACGCCGUAAACGAUGAGAACUAGAUGUUGGGUAGCAGGACUACUUAGUAUCGUAGCUAACGCGAUAAGUUCUCCGCCUGGGGAGUACGGCCGCAAAGGUUA